GUGUGCGAUCAUACCAGCCCUAGUGCACCGGAUCCCAUCUGAACUCCGAAGUUAAACGUGCUUGGGCGAGAGUAGUACUAAGAUGGGUGACCUCUUGGGAAGUCCUCGUGUUGCACCCC
rnacentral:rRNA from 1 species